UUUUUUGGAAUUACAUAGUGAGCAUUGGAUGUUGAUAUUAUUGGUGUCCGACUCUUAUUGGUUGUGUUUCAUGGAUCCUAAAAACUCACACUUGAGUAAUCGACCUGAUAUUAGAGAAACGGUCACAUUGGCAUUUCAAACUUACUACAGGGCGAUAAGGAAAGAAAUUCCACCGAAGCUAAAAGUUCGACGCCCAACUUGUCCACAUCAACCGGAAGACAUCGAAUGUGAAUAUUAUGUCAUGAAGAUGAUGAAAGAUUUAAUUCAAGCUUCGAAUCGGAAACACUUUUUGGCCGAGGUACAUAACAUACAAACUAUAUAAAUAUGUCAUACAUUAUUAUUGUUAUUAUUAUUAUUAUUAUUAAGAAUGCAUAUGAUGAUAAAUUUAAUUAAUAUAUUAUUUAUCUUUAAAUUUUGUAGUUAAGUGAUGCAAAGUAUAUAGAAGAAGACAUUGAUAAAGUGAAAGAGCAUUGGGCAAGUGAGAUAUUAUCGGUUAUUCAAACAUAUCAACGUUAGUUGUUUUUUGUUUUAAUAGGGCAAGUGAGAUGUUAUCGGUUAUUCAAACUUACCGAUGUUAGUUGUUUUUUGUUUUAAUAGACCAAUAGUUAUUAUAUAAUUUUAUAGUUAUGGAUUUAUUAGUAUAAUGAACUAAUAUGUAAUAUUUAUUAA